GAUGAACGCUGGCGGCGUGCCUAAUACAUGCAAGUCGAGCGAACCACUUCGGUGGUGAGCGGCGAACGGGUGAGUAACACGUAGGUGAUCUGCCCAUCAGACGGGGACAACGAUUGGAAACGAUCGCUAAUACCGGGUAGGCCGAAAGUUUAAAGGUGCUUCUGGCACCGCUGAUGGAUGAGCCUGCGGCGCAUUAGCUAGUUGGUAGGGUAAAGGCCUACCAAGGCGACGAUGCGUAGCCGACCUGAGAGGGUGAACGGCCACACUGGGACUGAGACACGGCCCAGACUCCUACGGGAGGCAGCAGUAGGGAAUCUUCGGCAAUGGGCGAAAGCCUGACCGAGCAACGCCGCGUGAAUGAUGAAGGCCUCGGGUUGUAAAAUUCUGUUAUAAGGGAAGAACGACUUUAGUAGGAAAUGGCUAGAGUGUGACGGUACCUUAUGAGAAAGCCACGGCUAACUACGUGCCAGCCGCCGCCGUAAGAC
rnacentral:rRNA from 1 species